rnacentral:lncRNA from 1 species
CUGCAAUGAGCCCUCCAGAAUGCAGACGUCUGGUCUGGUGGAACUCAAUAGAUUUCUGUUUGCUGCAUGUGCUGCGGGUGCACACACACACAUGCACAAAUGACCACUUUAUGAAAGCAUUUGCGUGCAAUAAAAAGUUAAUUUUUUUCACACUUAAAAUCAGCUUCGCCACCUGCAGUGAUUAUCAAGCAAGCUUCAUUUGGAGACAGAUUUGGAGGCUGGCGGCUCUUUGGCUCUGAGAAAAUCCCUGAAGAAAACAUCUUGGACACCCUGAGGCAUCACCUCACAAGUUGGACACCUGAAAUGCCUUCUAGCAGCAAAACUCAUUCAAAGGAAAUGUGCUCGUCCUUUUCAGCGUGAAUGAACCAGUUCAUAAGCGUGAUGUUGCUGCGUGGAUUGCCCUGACUGACAUCCUGGAGCUGGAACCCAGUGACUGCACCCAUUUGCACAACAGCCAGUACAAAAUGGGCGCAGAAAUGAAGUACAUUCCCACUGUUUAUUUCACUGGCCAGGAAAGAGGAUGCUCCCAACUCCCAUCCUCAGUCUGAGAAGAGUGCCAGCUUUGGGUGGGAUUGUGGAUAUGUAAAUAUCCACCCGUGAGGAACACGCUGAGACCAGAGAAUUGCUCUGCAAAAGACUGACUGCUGGUGUGGAUGUUUUCAAAGUUAGCAGUGUGAUCGCUUGAAUUGGACUAUGAUAUUCUUAUUUUGAAAGCAGAGUCCAAUGGGCAAAUUAAUUUCUGAAGGCAUAGCUGAAUGCCUGACUGCCAAAGUGGAUAAUGAGCGUAUCACCAGUGAGUCAGAGGGGAGGCAGCAAUAAAACGGAGCGAGGCUGGACAGCAAUAAAGCAGCAGAGAGGGAAGCUCACACCUUGGCAUCAUGCUCAUCUUUGCUCUGGAGGGAGUGUGUAAAAAAGACAACAUCCAAAGCUCUUAGAAAUUAAGCUCUAAUGAGUCUCAUGGAAGGAACCCAUAACAAGGGAUCUGUGGGGGCUGAAGGAAUUUGGAACUACAGACAGCCAACCCAGUAGUGUGUACAUAUCUGUAGCUGCUGGAGAGCAGUGCAUCUCAG